rnacentral:rRNA from 1 species
UACGAAGGGGACUAGCGUUGUUCGGAUUUACUGGGCGUAAAGCGCGCGUAGGGGGAUCGCUAAGUCAGGGGUGAAAUCCCAGGGCUCAACCCUGGAACUGCCUUUGAUACUGACGGUCUGGAGAUCGGGAGAGGUUGGUGGAAUUCCGAGUGUAGAGGUGAAAUUCGUAGAUAUUCGGAGGAACACCAGAAGCGAAGGCGGCCAACUGGCCCGAUACUGACGCUGAGGCGCGAAAGCGUGGGGAGCAAACAGG